UACGGAGGGUGCAAGCGUUAUCCGGAUUCACUGGGUUUAAAGGGUGCGUAGGUGGGCAGGUAAGUCAGUGGUGAGAUCUCCGGGCUUAACCCGGAAACUGCCGUUGAUACUAUUUGUCUUGAAUAUUGUGGAGGUAAGCGGAAUAUGUCAUGUAGCGGUGAAAUGCUUAGAUAUGACAUAGAACACCAAUUGCGAAGGCAGCUUACUACACAACGAUUGACGCUGAGGCACGAAAGCGUGGGGAUCAAACAGG
rnacentral:rRNA from 1 species